UCGAUGGGAAACAGGUUAAUAUUCCUGUACUUGGUGUUACUGCGAAGGGGGGACGGAGAAGGCUAUGUUAGCCGGGCGACGGUUGUCCCGGUUUAAGCAUGUAGGCUGGUUAUCCAGGCAAAUCCGGAUAAUCAAGGCUGAGGUGUGAUGACGAGGCACUACGGUGCUGAAGUAACAAAUGCCCUGCUUCCAGGAAAAGCCUCUAAGCAUCAGGUAACAU
rnacentral:rRNA from 1 species